rnacentral:rRNA from 1 species
UACGAAGGGGGCUAGCGUUGUUCGGAAUCACUGGGCGUAAAGGGCGCGUAGGCGGCUUGAUAAGUCGGGGGUGAAAGCCUGUGGCUCAACCACAGAAUUGCCUUCGAUACUGUCUGGCUUGAGACCGGAAGAGGUAAGUGGAACUGCGAGUGUAGAGGUGAAAUUCGUAGAUAUUCGCAAGAACACCAGUGGCGAAGGCGGCUUACUGGUCCGGUACUGACGCUGAGGUGCGAAAAGCGUGGGG